rnacentral:lncRNA from 1 species
UAUAUAUAUAUAUCAACAGGCACCUGCUUGUAUUCAAAGCCACAGUGCAGUGGAGAGCUGAAACGUCAAAACCUGAUAGCUAGGUAGUCUAGCCCACUUGGAAAAGUUCUGGACCAAUGAGAAAUGCUGUAUCAAAAGGAAGGAAGAGGUGCCCAAGGAAUGAAUGACACCCACAAUUGUCCUCUGACCUCUGCGUACACAUGCAUGCAUCUACCUGCACACACAUGAGCACAACACACCUGUACACAUGUACACACACACAUGAGUCAUCCCCCUAUAUUCUUUUGUAGACACAAAGAAUAUUGAGGGAUGGCUUCCAACAAUUCAAGAGAAGUUAAAAGAUAACUCCAUCUUAUUUAAUAACAAUAUUAUCAUUUUCUCCUACACAAAUGAGUAUUGAUUUACAAAAAUAUGUGUAACACUACUUUUAAAAACUUAAAAACCUUUUAUUUGCAGUUCUGGGGAUUAAACCCAAGGGAAGGGAGAAAACAUUCUAUCACUAUAAUGCAUCCCGAACACUAAAAGUAUUUGAAGACAACUUAGUCUAACUUAUUAUUUUAUGGUGCCCUUUUGCUCUGUACUGGCUGGUUUUGUGUGUCAACUUGACACAAGAUGGAGUUAUCACAGAAAAAAGAUCCUCCUUUGAGGAAAUGCCUCCAUGAGAUCCAGUUGUAAGGCCUUUUCUCAAUUACUGAUCAAGGGUGGGAGAGCCCAUUGUGUGCAGUGCCAACCCUGGGCUGGUAGUCCUGGGUUCUAUAAGAAAGCAGGCUGAGCAAGCCAGAGUAAGGAAGCCAGUAAGAAGCACCUUCCAUGGCCUCUACAUAAGCCCCUGCAUCCAAGUUCUUGUCCUGUGUAAGUAUCUGUCCUGACUUCCUUUGAUGAUGAACAGCAAUGUGGAAGUGUAAGCUGAAUAAAUCCUUUCCUCCCUAACUUGCUUCUUGGUCAUGAUGCUUUGUGCAGGAAUACAAACCCUGACUAAGACAAGCUCUUAAAAAUAAAACUUAUCACAGUUUAUAAGCUAUUCCUAUUUUGAUAUUAUUGCCUAUCCCAUUAGCAUUCCCAUGAGGGAGAUUACGGAGGAAAUAGCCUUGGGAAGUGGGGAGCCCAAGAAUCAUAUCCUAGAUAGUUCAACACAUUGGCUUUCUGCCCUCCACCUACCCCAGUGGUGGGCUUUUUAGGGAAAUUCUGUGUCGUAGUGAGAGUCACACUGAUUCACCCCU